rnacentral:rRNA from 1 species
UACGAAGGGGGCUAGCGUUGCUCGGAAUCACUGGGCGUAAAGGGUGCGUAGGCGGGUCUUUUAAGUCAGGGGUGAAAUCCUGGAGCUCAACUCCAGAACUGCCUUCGAUACUGAGAGUCUCGAGUCCGGGAGAGGUGAGUGGAACUGCGAGUGUAGAGGUGAAAUUCGUAGAUAUUCGCAAGAACACCAGUGGCGAAGGCGGCUCACUGGCCCGGUACUGACGCUGAGGUGCGAAAGCGUGGGGAGCAAACAGGG